ACUCAAAGGAAUUGACGGGGGCCCGCACAAGCAGCGGAGCGUGUGGUUUAAUUCGACGCAACGCGAAGAACCUUACCUGGGCUUGACAUGCACAUGGUAAAAGCCUGAAAGGGUGAUGACCCGCAAGGGAGUGUGCACAGAUGCUGCAUGGCUGUCGUCAGCUCGUGCCGUGAGGUGUUGGGUUAAGUCCCGCAACGAGCGCAACCCUCGCUGCCAGUUACGAUGUCUGGCGGGACCGCCGGGUCCAACCCGGAGGAAGGUGGGGAUGACGUCAAGUCAGCACGGCUCUUACGUCCAGGGCUACACACACGCUACAAUGGCCGGUACAACGCGCAGCGAAGAGGCGACUCGGAGCGAAUCGCAGCAAAGCCGGUCUCAGUUGGGAUUGCAGGCUGCAACUCGCCUGCAUGAACGCGGAGUUGCUAGUAACCGCAGGUCAGCACACUGCGGUGAAUACGUUCCCGGGCCUUGUACACACCGCCCGU
rnacentral:rRNA from 1 species